UCCAAAGUCGUAUAGCCAUAGUGACGUCAGAGCGGUCAAGCAUUGGAUCUGAGGUGGCAGGGACUCCAUGUGUGGCAACCCACAUAAGUCUAAUCCACGGGGUGCGGAUGACGAAGAGGAGGAUAUCAAUCCAGACCAAUCAAACUCAUUGUAAAUUGAAGAAUUUUCAUGAUCAUCACCAUCUUCUGAGAAGGGACCAAUGCUAAGCUCCCUUAAGCUGGUUAGGAAACCAAAUCCUUUGGGCGUCAUGCUUGUUUUCAGUUUGGGACACCUGUAUAAUUCCAGCUCCAAGAGAGAAGGCGUUUGUUGCAAAUUGAGCGGAAAGGAGAUAAGAUUGUCGCAAUAAGCCACCCGAAGCUUCUGGAGAGAGGUACAAGAGUGUAGCAUGUCACCUGGCAGAUUCGUCAACCCAUCGAAACGAGCAAUCACUAGCUCUUUAAGAGACGCAAAGUUUUGCAGGGGAAGGAGUUCUCUGCAUCUGUCGCAGCUAUAAAAUCGCAAACGCGCUAACUCGGGGAGUGUUAUUGCUGACUCGGGGAGUGUUGUUGUUGUUGUUGGCAAAUCCAUUAACCAUCGAGGAAAUUGAUCGCCCAUAAAAUUGCAAAUUGCCAACUCCUCCAAAUUUGGGUGGGCUUGAAGGCCAUCUAACACAUCUUCGUCGUUGUAGUCGUCGCCUUCUCGAUCAUCUGCCCACUCAAGUACCAACUCAAAUAGAUUUGCCUUUUCAGAUAGUUUUGCUUCCUCAGCUCCUUCCUUAUCCUUUACUAGUUCCAGAUUGCAUAUCCUCAAACUGCCUUUGAGGUUCUUCAAGCUUCCAAGCUCUCCAAUUCGUCGACCCUUCUCUCGACCCACGUUAAAGAACUCUAGUGUCUGAAGGCAAGUCAGCCGUCCCAUCUCUAGCGGCAUUUGAAAUUUUUUAUCAAAGGUGUGAAAGUGGAGAUGUCUCAAGCUAAUCAAAUCGCACAUCCCCUUCGGAAGAACUUUAAGAAAGUGACUUAGCCUCAGUGUCUGCAAAUUAUAAAGUUUGCAAACAGAUUCCGGCAACGUUUGACUUCUAGAACGCUCAAAGUUGAUGUACCUCAAGUGUCUCAGUUUGCCAAUUGAGAUUGGCAGAUUCUGAUUUUCUUCACCGGACAAAUUCAGAACGUGCAGAUUCUUCAACCUCAUUAGCAUAUCAUCAGAUAAGCUACCCUGACUCAGAAACAAUGUAUGAAGCAAAUUUGAUGGACUCUCAAAAAGAUUUUUUGUGCCUUCUCCAAAUGAGUCUAUUACAAGACAACGAACCUGAUUACUAUUGUCUUCUGAACCAGUCUCCGAAUUAAUGACUUUAGCAGACUUUGACAUUAUUGAUGUUGCGACGUCGUGCACCAUAUCAUGCAUUUUAUAAUACCUUCUCCCAUAUUUUCCUAUUUCUUCCAGCAAAGAACUCUGCAAUAAAAUUUCCAAGUAAUACUCUCCAAUUUCCUCCAUUGUUUUGUUCUCGAGACCUGCAUGGAGGAAACCUUCUGCCAUCCAAAGUUCGAUCAGCAUAUCCCGUUCCAUCUCAGUAUCCUUGGGAAAAAUAGAACAAUAUGCAAAACAUUUCUUAAUGGGUGCUUGGGUCAUUCUAAUUGAUAGUUUCAAGAGUAUUACUAUUAUGUUGUAAGGAGUAAAUGAAGAGCACCAAUAUUUUGGACCUAAUAAGAAAUGCUUAUGCCGCAGCUUUGAAAGAUAAUAAAUAGGAUGAUAAAAAGGGAGAAGAGAGAAUUGUGAAGAAAAACCAUGGGACUUUUUAGGUUUUCUCACGAGAAGGUUAAUCAGAGGGGGAAGUGAAGAGAAGGGGAGAUUGAUUGAUUGUAAAGCAAAUUAAGAAAGAGGUUAUUGAAGGCAAUCUUACUUGAUUGAAUUUGAUCUGAAGAUGAAAGUUGGUUAUUAAUCAACGUAUGCGUAGGUCUUGAAUGUGAGAAACUUUGGACCACUGGGAGUCGGGGCCGCUGCUCUCAGGAGUGCAUCUUUCUUUUAACAGAGGAGAACCAAAAACCCACAGACGUUUUAGUUUGGUGAGACUUCUCAUGGCAUCCUCAGAGGGUAGAUGUCCAAGCUCUUUGAAACCAAAUAACCGCAGCUCUUCAAGAGCAGCGAAGUUUCCGAACCAAUCUGGCAGAGCUUUUAUACCUCCAAAGUCGUAUAGCCAUAGUGACGUCAGAGCGGUCAAGCAUUGGAUCUGAGGUGGCAGGGACUCCAUGUGUGGCAACCCACAUAAGUCUAAUCCACGGGGUGCGGAUGACGAAGAGGAGGAUAUCAAUCCAGACCAAUCAAACUCAUUGUAAAUUGAAGAAUUUUCAUGAUCAUCACCAUCUUCUGAGAAGGGACCAAUGCUAAGCUCCCUUAAGCUGGUUAGGAAACCAAAUCCUUUGGGCGUC
rnacentral:lncRNA from 1 species